CGCACAUUGCGCCUGCUGGUAUUCCGGUAGGCAUGCCUGUUCGAGCGUCAGCAAAACCUCUCAGCAUUAAUUUGCUGGUUAUGGGCCGUGGAGGAAUGGCUGCUAUUGUAGUCGCUCCCGCCUUAAACUUGCUGCACGACCUCAAGCUUAUGCUAGGUUAAUGGAGUGGUGUUUACAUUUUAUCCAACAAUCAAUCAUAGCUUGGUUAGGCGUUAAACCCGAUGUUGUCUUACGGCAACUCUGAAGUUUGACCUCGAAUCAGACAAGGAUACCCGCUGAACUUAA
rnacentral:misc_RNA from 1 species